AUACAUUUCUGUUAAGAUGUUAACAGCGCUGCCUGUGAGAAUGCCUACCCUGAGACCCAGCCCUGUAUUCCUGGAAACAGCAGCAGUGGAAGAAGCCUCUGCUCUUGUGCUCCUGGAAAUAUCUUCCUUGCUAGAUGUCCUAUAUAAACAGUUUGAAAGUGGGCACCUCACACCAACUUAACACCUAAGAUGCACCUUGGAGUAGUGCCAAGUGAACCUGGCAGAGGGCUUCUUGUUCCUGAGAGCUUGAUUUCAACAAACAGUAGGAUCCAAUAGGGAAGCAGCUUUUGGACCCAUUAC
rnacentral:lncRNA from 1 species